UACGGGGGGGGCAAGCGUUGUUCGGAAUUACUGGGCGUAAAGGGCGCGUAGGCGGCUCUUCAAGUCAGCCGUGAAAUCUCCAGGCUUAACCUGGAAGGGUCGGUUGAUACUGUCGAGCUAGAGUGUGGAAGAGGCAACUGGAAUUCCGUGUGUAGCGGUGAAAUGCGUAGAUAUACGGAGGAACACCGGUGGCGAAGGCGGGUCUCUGGGCCGUAACUGACGCUGAGGAGCGAAAGCGUGGGGAGCGAACAGG
rnacentral:rRNA from 1 species